rnacentral:rRNA from 1 species
UACGUAGGGUGCAAGCGUUGUCCGGAAUUAUUGGGCGUAAAGAGCUUGUAGGCGGUUUGUCGCGUCUGCUGUGAAAUUCCAGGGCUUAACCCUGGGCUUGCAGUGGGUACGGGCAGACUAGAGUGUGGUAGGGGAGACUGGAAUUCCUGGUGUAGCGGUGAAAUGCGCAGAUAUCAGGAGGAACACCGGUGGCGAAGGCGGGUCUCUGGGCCGAAAACUGACGCUGAGGAGCGAAAGCGUGGGGAGCGAACAGG